UAAGCAAAUCAGUCAUAGGGCUCCUCCCUCUUGGCAGGCACUGGUGAAUGAUGCAACUACAAUCACUUUCAUUGACUUGCCAAAGGAGAGUUGCCCUGCGAUUGCUUUAGCUUA
rnacentral:pre_miRNA from 1 species